rnacentral:rRNA from 1 species
AGGGUUCGAUUCUGGCUCAGGAUGAACGCUGGCGGCGUGCUUAACACAUGCAAGUCGAACGGGAUCCAUCAAGCUUGCUUGGUGGUGAGAGUGGCGAACGGGUGAGUAAUGCGUGACCGACCUGCCCCAUGCUCCGGAAUAGCUCCUGGAAACGGGUGGUAAUGCCGGAUGUUCCACAUGAUCGCAUGUGAUUGUGGGAAAGAUUCUAUCGGCGUGGGAUGGGGUCGCGUCCUAUCAGCUUGUUGGUGAGGUAACGGCUCACCAAGGCUUCGACGGGUAGCCGGCCUGAGAGGGCGACCGGCCACAUUGGGACUGAGAUACGGCCCAGACUCCUACGGGAGGCAGCAGUGGGGAAUAUUGCACAAUGGGCGCAAGCCUGAUGCAGCGACGCCGCGUGAGGGAUGGAGGCCUUCGGGUUGUAAACCUCUUUUGUUUGGGAGCAAGCCUUCGGGUGAGUGUACCUUUCGAAUAAGCGCCGGCUAACUACGUGCCAGCAGCCGCGGUAAUACGUAGGGCGCAAGCGUUAUCCGGAUUUAUUGGGCGUAAAGGGCUCGUAGGCGGCUCGUCGCGUCCGGUGUGAAAGUCCAUCGCUUAACGGUGGAUCUGCGCCGGGUACGGGCGGGCUGGAGUGCGGUAGGGGAGACUGGAAUUCCCGGUGUAACGGUGGAAUGUGUAGAUAUCGGGAAGAACACCGAUGGCGAAGGCAGGUCUCUGGGCCGUCACUGACGCUGAGGAGCGAAAGCGUGGGGAGCGAACAGGAUUAGAUACCCUGGUAGUCCACGCCGUAAACGGUGGACGCUGGAUGUGGGGCACGUUCCACGUGUUCCGUGUCGGAGCUAACGCGUUAAGCGUCCCGCCUGGGGAGUACGGCCGCAAGGCUAAAACUCAAAGAAAUUGACGGGGGCCCGCACAAGCGGCGGAGCAUGCGGAUUAAUUCGAUGCAACGCGAAGAACCUUACCUGGGCUUGACAUGUUCCCGACGACGCCAGAGAUGGCGUUUCCCUUCGGGGCGGGUUCACAGGUGGUGCAUGGUCGUCGUCAGCUCGUGUCGUGAGAUGUUGGGUUAAGUCCCGCAACGAGCGCAACCCUCGCCCCGUGUUGCCAGCACGUUAUGGUGGGAACUCACGGGGGACCGCCGGGGUUAAC